rnacentral:rRNA from 1 species
AGUUUGAUCCUGGCUCAGGAUGAACGCUAGCGGCAGGCUUAACACAUGCAAGUCGAGGGGUAUAGUAGCAAUACUAGAGACCGGCGCACGGGUGCGUAACGCGUAUGCAAUCUACCUUUUGCAGAGGGAUAGCCCAGAGAAAUUUGGAUUAAUACCUCAUAGUAUUUGAGAAUGGCAUCAUUUUCACAUUAAAGUCACAACGGCAAAAGAUGAGCAUGCGUCCCAUUAGCUAGUUGGUAAGGUAACGGCUUACCAAGGCAACGAUGGGUAGGGGUCCUGAGAGGGAGAUCCCCCACACUGGUACUGAGACACGGACCAGACUCCUACGGGAGGCAGCAGUGAGGAAUAUUGGACAAUGGGCGAGAGCCUGAACCAGCCAUGCCGCGUGCAGGAAGAAGCAUCUAUGGUUUGUAAACUGCUUUUAUACAGGAAGAAACACUCCCUCGUGAGGGAGCUUGACGGUACUGUAAGAAUAAGGAUCGGCUAACUCCGUGCCAGCAGCCGCGGUAAUACGGAGGAUCCAAGCGUUAUCCGGAAUCAUUGGGUUUAAAGGGUCCGUAGGCGGUCUGGUAAGUCAGUGGUGAAAGCCCAUCGCUCAACGGUGGAACGGCCAUUGAUACUGCCAGACUUGAAUUAUUAGGAAGUAACUAGAAUAUGUAGUGUAGCGGUGAAAUGCUUAGAGAUUACAUGGAAUACCAAUUGCGAAGGCAGGUUACUACUAAUGGAUUGACGCUGAUGGACGAAAGCGUGGGUAGCGAACAGGAUUAGAUACCCUGGUAGUCCACGCCGUAAACGAUGGAUACUAGCU